UACGUAGGGUGCAAGCGUUGUCCGGAAUCAUUGGGCGUAAAGCGCGUGUAGGCGGCUUGCUAAGUCCGCUCUGAAAGCCCCCGGCUUAACCGGGGAGGGUCGUUGGGGACGGCGGGGCUUGAGGGCGGGAGAGGUCGGUGGAAUUCCCGGUGUAGUGGUGAAAUGCGUAGAGAUCGGGAGGAACACCUGUGGCGAAGGCGGCCGACUGGGCCGACCCUGACGCUGAGGCGCGAAGGCGUGGGGAGCGAACAGG
rnacentral:rRNA from 1 species